rnacentral:rRNA from 1 species
UUAAGCGACUAAGCGUACACGGUGGAUGCCCUGGCAGUCAGAGGCGAUGAAGGACGUGCUAAUCUGCGAUAAGCGUCGGUAAGGUGAUAUGAACCGUUAUAACCGGCGAUUUCCGAAUGGGGAAACCCAGUGUGAUUCGUCACACUAUCAUUAACUGAAUCCAUAGGUUAAUGAGGCGAACCGGGGGAACUGAAACAUCUAAGUACCCCGAGGAAAAGAAAUCAACCGAGAUUCCCCCAGUAGCGGCGAGCGAACGGGGAGCAGCCCAGAGCCUGAAUCAGUGUGUGUGUUAGUGGAAGCGUCUGGAAAGGCGCGCGAUACAGGGUGACAGCCCCGUACACAAAAAUGCACAUGCUGUGAGCUCGAUGAGUAGGGCGGGACACGUGGUAUCCUGUCUGAAUAUGGGGGGACCAUCCUCCAAGGCUAAAUACUCCUGACUGACCGAUAGUGAACCAGUACCGUGAGGGAAAGGCGAAAAGAACCCCGGCGAGGGGAGUGAAAAAGAACCUGAAACCGUGUACGUACAAGCAGUGGGAGCACGCUUAGGCGUGUGACUGCGUACCUUUUGUAUAAUGGGUCAGCGACUUAUAUUCUGUAGCAAGGUUAACCGAAUAGGGGAGCCGAAGGGAAACCGAGUCUUAACUGGGCGUUAAGUUGCAGGGUAUAGACCCGAAACCCGGUGAUCUAGCCAUGGGCAGGUUGAAGGUUGGGUAACACUAACUGGAGGACCGAACCGACUAAUGUUGAAAAAUUAGCGGAUGACUUGUGGCUGGGGGUGAAAGGCCAAUCAAACCGGGAGAUAGCUGGUUCUCCCCGAAAGCUAUUUAGGUAGCGCCUCGUGAAUUCAUCUCCGGGGGUAGAGCACUGUUUCGGCAAGGGGGUCAUCCCGACUUACCAACCCGAUGCAAACUGCGAAUACCGGAGAAUGUUAUCACGGGAGACACACGGCGGGUGCUAACGUCCGUCGUGAAGAGGGAAACAACCCAGACCGCCAGCUAAGGUCCCAAAGUCAUGGUUAAGUGGGAAACGAUGUGGGAAGGCCCAGACAGCCAGGAUGUUGGCUUAGAAGCAGCCAUCAUUUAAAGAAAGCGUAAUAGCUCACUGGUCGAGUCGGCCUGCGCGGAAGAUGUAACGGGGCUAAACCAUGCACCGAAGCUGCGGCAGCGACGCUUAUGCGUUGUUGGGUAGGGGAGCGUUCUGUAAGCCUGUGAAGGUGUGCUGUGAGGCAUGCUGGAGGUAUCAGAAGUGCGAAUGCUGACAUAAGUAACGAUAAAGCGGGUGAAAAGCCCGCUCGCCGGAAGACCAAGGGUUCCUGUCCAACGUUAAUCGGGGCAGGGUGAGUCGACCCCUAAGGCGAGGCCGAAAGGCGUAGUCGAUGGGAAACAGGUUAAUAUUCCUGUACUUGGUGUUACUGCGAAGGGGGGACGGAGAAGGCUAUGUUGGCCGGGCGACGGUUGUCCCGGUUUAAGCGUGUAGGCUGGUUUUCCAGGCAAAUCCGGAAAAUCAAGGCUGAGGCGUGAUGACGAGGCACUACGGUGCUGAAGCAACAAAUGCCCUGCUUCCAGGAAAAGCCUCUAAGCAUCAGGUAACAUCAAAUCGUACCCCAAACCGACACAGGUGGUCAGGUAGAGAAUACCAAGGCGCUUGAGAGAACUCGGGUGAAGGAACUAGGCAAAAUGGUGCCGUAACUUCGGGAGAAGGCACGCUGAUAUGUAGGUGAAGUCCCUCGCGGAUGGAGCUGAAAUCAGUCGAAGAUACCAGCUGGCUGCAACUGUUUAUUAAAAACACAGCACUGUGCAAACACGAAAGUGGACGUAUACGGUGUGACGCCUGCCCGGUGCCGGAAGGUUAAUUGAUGGGGUCAGCGCAAGCGAAGCUCUUGAUCGAAGCCCCGGUAAACGGCGGCCGUAACUAUAACGGUCCUAAGGUAGCGAAAUUCCUUGUCGGGUAAGUUCCGACCUGCACGAAUGGCGUAAUGAUGGCCAGGCUGUCUCCACCCGAGACUCAGUGAAAUUGAACUCGCUGUGAAGAUGCAGUGUACCCGCGGCAAGACGGAAAGACCCCGUGAACCUUUACUAUAGCUUGACACUGAACAUUGAGCCUUGAUGUGUAGGAUAGGUGGGAGGCUUUGAAGUGUGGACGCCAGUCUGCAUGGAGCCGACCUUGAAAUACCACCCUUUAAUGUUUGAUGUUCUAACGUUGACCCGUGAUCCGGGUUGCGGACAGUGUCUGGUGGGUAGUUUGACUGGGGCGGUCUCCUCCUAAAGAGUAACGGAGGAGCACGAAGGUUGGCUAAUCCUGGUCGGACAUCAGGAGGUUAGUGCAAUGGCAUAAGCCAGCUUGACUGCGAGCGUGACGGCGCGAGCAGGUGCGAAAGCAGGUCAUAGUGAUCCGGUGGUUCUGAAUGGAAGGGCCAUCGCUCAACGGAUAAAAGGUACUCCGGGGAUAACAGGCUGAUACCGCCCAAGAGUUCAUAUCGACGGCGGUGUUUGGCACCUCGAUGUCGGCUCAUCACAUCCUGGGGCUGAAGUAGGUCCCAAGGGUAUGGCUGUUCGCCAUUUAAAGUGGUACGCGAGCUGGGUUUAGAACGUCGUGAGACAGUUCGGUCCCUAUCUGCCGUGGGCGCUGGAGAAUUGAGGGGGGCUGCUCCUAGUACGAGAGGACCGGAGUGGACGCAUCACUGGUGUUCGGGUUGUCAUGCCAAUGGCACUGCCCGGUAGCUAAAUGCGGAAGAGAUAAGUGCUGAAAGCAUCUAAGCACGAAACUUGCCCCGAGAUGAGUUCUCCCUGACCCUUUAAGGGUCCUGAAGGAACGUUGAAGACGACGACGUUGAUAGGCCGGGUGUGUAAGCGCAGCGAUGCGUUGAGCUAACCGGUACUAAUGAACCGUGAGGCUUAACCU